GCCCUCCCCCCACCAUGGCGCGGAGCGAGGCAGCGGCGGCGGGGCCGGGCCCGGGGCCCCCCCGGGCUGGGUGAGCGCGGCCUGCAGCGGCCCGGGAGCGGCGGGCGGGGGCGCGGGUGUGUGCGCGGGUGUGAGCGUGCGAGCGUGCGAGUGUGUGUCCGUGGCGCUGCGGCGGGCCCGGCGUGCGCCCGCGCGGCCCUAUGUGUGCCCGGUGCCGGCGUGUGCGGCGCCCUGCCCGUGUGGCCAUCGGGUGUGCGCGGGGUGUCGAGCCCGGCCGGCGUGUCCGGCUGUGCACGCGUGUCCCCCCGAGCGGCCGCCCCUCCGGCUGUGUGUCUGGGCGCUGUCGCGCGCCCAUCGGAGGGGCUGUGUGCAGGUGUGUGUGUGCGUGGGUUGUGUGCCCAGGUGUGGGUCCCCCCCAAGCCCAUGUGCGUGCGCGACUAGCUGCUCUGGGUGUUUGUGUCCGGGUUGGAUGUCCAUCCCCGGGUCUGUGGAGCCGGGUGUGCCCGCUCGGGUGUCCAUUUGUGUGUGUGUGUGUGUGUGUGUGUGUGUGUGUGUGUCUGCGGGUUGUAUGUCUCCGAGGGUGUGUAUCUGUGAGUCCACGGCAGGUUGCUGGCUUGGGGGCUGAGGCUCGGCGCCCAGGCCUCGGUGUGGAUUUGGGGGAGGGGAGUUCGCCGCUCCCUCGGUCCAUGUCAACUGGGGGGUCCUUAGCGGUCCUGGGGGAAGCGGCCAUGUCUUCCCCUUCCCGGUGGUUGCGGGGGGGGGAUGGGCGGCCAGGAGGUGGACAGAUGGAGGGGGGAUGAGAGGCCGAGAAAUGGACAGAUGGGCCCUGAGGUGGGGGUUGGGGGGCGAAGACCCGGCCCUUCCCCACCCACUCCACCCUAAUUCCCCCACCGGCCAGACAUCUGCAGACGGAGCCAGAGUUACCUCCAUCCUGAUGGCCAGGCUGGGGAACCUUUGGGGCUGCUGGUGGGAGGAUCUCCUUGAAACGGUGAUCUAGGACUCAAACCCCCAAAUCCUCUUGAGUUUCCACCUGCUGAACUCUGACCUCUGGCCUGGCUUUUGCCCUGGUUUUUUGGGGGUGUGGAGGGCAGGAUGCUGAAUGUGCUGCAGGGAUGUUAGGAUUUCUUGGGCCUGGGAAGUAAGUAGGUGGGGUGGUGGGGGGGUGCCUCAGGGCUGGGAGGAAUGUGUGUCCAAGACUGUGUGAGUGUGAAUCUGGGCCUGUCUACUGACUGUGCUACUGUGGUUCAGUAUUUUCUAUGCAUUUGGAAGUGUGUAAAUCACAGGACUGUUGUGUGAGCAUGUGUCUGUUAUGAGUGAACAUCUUGGCGUGUCUGCAAAGGUGGAUCUUUUUGUGCCUGUGUGCGUGUUCCAGUGUGGAUCAGCCUCGUAUCUGUAUGCUUGUGGUUUUGUGUGUGUGUGUGUGUGUGUGAGGUAUGUAUCUGUUAGCGUGGUGCUGUAUCAACUUUGCAACAUGGAGAUGUGUGAAGUAUGAGUGUGUCUAGGCAUUUAAGAGUGUGCACUUGUGUAUGUUUGCACAGGUGUGUGUGUGUUUGUUAGAUGUGUGUGCCCCUGUGUGCUGGUGAGUGUGCAAGGUAGAUCUGUUGUAAAUGCAUGUACCUGGUUGUCUGUUAGGGGGCACAUGAGUUUCUCUGUUGUAUCUGUGCAUUUGUGUGUGUGAACUUGCAUGGCAGAGUCAGUGUUGUACAUGUAUUGUUGCAUGCAGGUGUGUCAACCUUGAGGGUAUGUAUCCAUCUAUGUUGUGAGUCUGUUUGUGUUUUGGUGUUGGUCUCUGGGGGUUGUGUAUGUUCAGACAUGUAUGUGAAAGACACAUGUGUCUGUGCCCUGGCACAAGGCUGUCCCUACUCUUGGGUUCAGUGGGUUUGAGGCCCAUGUGGCAUGACCUCUGGUAUACUGGGGUCCCGCCUGGGGUCCCUGGACACAGUGUGUCCAUAUGCCAGGCCAAGUGCCCAUAGAGGGCGGAGGGCACACAGAUCAUGUUGCUAUGUUCAUAGAAAUCCAGAUGUAGAGACUUGGGUUGUGGGCUUGCGUGGGUUCUGACAUGGACACACAUGUUGGUGUGGGCAAUAGUAUCAUGGCAAGGAUGGGAAACUUUGGCCCUUCCCCAGCUCUUGGUACCGUUCAGGACUUUGGAGUUGAGGGGCUGGGAUGUAAACUCUUGGGUUCUAAUGGAGGGCCAGAGGUCUGGUCUGGACUCUUGGGUCAGAGGGAAGAGGGGGCUGGGGUUCUUGGCUCCUGAAACCCCAGAGGACAAAGGGCUAAAGUCCUCGACUCCUGGGCUUUGGAGGGUGAACAACCCUGAGGCCUAAUCUAGGAUUCCAGAGAGGACUUCUGGGUUCCUGUGAGACUAUGCAAAACCCGCCACAGGAGGACUGAGAGCGUGAUCACACCAGGGACUUCCUUGGCCGGGAUGGUCUCCAAGGCAAGAUCUGGUGCACAGAGAAGAGCCAGAACGAUGCUAACAAGGUGGUUCUGUUCCUUUGCAGGUGCUGGCCCAGGCCCUGACUCCCUGAAGAGAGGUGAGUAGAGCCGUAAGGCUUCAGAGAGAGAGAGACAUGGGGGGUGAUGGGGCUUGCUGUCAGCCAGCUGGGGGUCUGGAACCCUGCCUCGCAUGGAUUUCAGUUCAGGGGAUGACAGUUUCCUGAAGGACCAGUUGCCCACCACUCUGUCCAAGGCUGGGGAGUGGUGACAAGGUCAGGAACAUCAAAGUUGGGUGAGGGCUUGUGGUGGCCAGGUGGCUCUGGGGAGCAGGUGGGGGGUUUCAGGCCAAGAGACAUUCAUUCUCAGGAUGGUUAAGGUGUUUGGGAAAGCAAGGUUUCCUCAUGAUAUCAGUAAAGGAUACAAGAAUAUGUCAAGAUAUGAAAUGACCCCUGCAUUUAGAGGGUUGAGUGAAUAUGUUUGCCCAUUUUGUAUGUGCGUGUGCAUGGGUGUGGGAAGAUCUCCCGAUAGCCUGACCUCCUGGUGGCUGAGAAAGCUGGAGAAAAUAAUAAAUUAGUAAUAAUAAUAGUAAUAAUAAUAAUGAUAAUAGCAGCAGCUCACAUGUAUAUAGUGUUUACUUUGUCAGGAACUAUUCUAAGCAUGUCAUAAAAUAUUAUCUCAUUAAAUCCUCAUAGCAACCUUAUGAGGUGGGUGCCAUUAUUAUUCCCAUUUGACAGAUGAGCACACCGAGGCACAGAAAGGGGAAGUCACUUGAUUAAAGUCACACAGUGGGGAGGUGAGGUCUGAACCCAGGCAGUAGGGCGGAUUCUGUCCUGCAGUGCUGCACCACUCUCCAUAAAUGUUAGCUAUUUCCAUUGCUAUUAUUAUUCCCUCCAUUUGAGUCCUACCCCAGCUGUCGGAGGCGAGGCUCUGGACUUCUGUUUCAUAGACUGGGAUUCUGAGCCCUGAAGACCCCACAGCCAAGCAGGGGCAGACUCAGGCUCCUAAUUCUGGAGUCCCCCUUUCUAGGCCAGGGUUUCCAGUACAUUGUAGAGUAGUGAUCUAGAGGGAGUGAAGGACAGAUUUGGGGUGAACUCAGAGAUGGUAGGACACCCCGAUCCGGCCUCUUUUUCCGCCUUCAGCCCGGUCAUUGUCUCUCUUACUCUCUGUCUCUUUCCUCCUCUGUCUUUUUCUCUCUAAUACUGUCUCUAUUUUUCUCUCCAUCUCUGUGUCUUUUUUCUGUGUCUCUCUCUUUUCUGUGUCUCAUUCUUCACUCUCAGUUUUCUGUCUGUUCACCUUCCUUUCAGACUCAUCUUUUUGUCUCUCUGUUUCUCUCCCAAUCUGUCUCUCUCUCUUUGCCAGUCCACUUCUCCCUCCCCCUGGUCUCUCCUUGUCUCUCUUCACCUCUGUCUCUGACUUUCCUGGUCUCUGUCCCAGGCCCCCUCCCCACUGGCAGGAAGAUCAAAGCCACCUAAGGCCGUAGCCCCAAACACAGAUUCCUGGGAGGUAGGCCAGCAGGGGCUAGGGUACAGGGCAGGGUGGGGUGAAAACAGUUUUAGGGACGCCCCCUUCCCAUCCUUUCCUCUUCACCCCCCGCCCACCCUGUGUUGUGAUGGGAACUGACAUGUCGUGGGCUGCAGCCGCCGCAGGGGGAAUCCCUGCCGGAAGGUUUUGCCUGGAGCAGAGACAUAGCGUGAGUGUGUGAGUGUGUGAGUGUGUGUGUGUGUGUUGUGUGUACCCAAAGAUGUGAGCAUGAAAGUCUGCCUUGCUUGGGAGCUCAACUGAGCCCAGGAUGAAACCAGACCUCAGAGAAGGCCUUCCUGAGGCUGAACUGGAAGACUCUGAUGUGUUUUCCUCAGUCCCUCCCACUUUGACACUCUCCCUGCCAAUGCCAGAGGCGGGAGGGGGGAAACCCUUAACAUUUAUUGAGUACUUACUGUAUGCCAGGCAUGGUCGGUGGUACAUGAAUGAAGAUGGUACAAUUAUCAUCCCAAUUUACAGAUUAAGAAAUUACAGCCUAGCUAGGGGAAAUCAUUGGCUUGGGGGUCACAGAGCUAGCAAAAGGGGAAUCAGGAUUUGAACCUGAGUCUGUUUGAUUUCAAAGUACUUACUCUCAAUAAUAGGGCACUGUUCUAUGCCUGGUACAUAUUAAGCACUUGAUGAUCAUGAUGAUGAUUGCUAACAUGUAAUAAGCACAUUUUAUAUGCCUGGCACUAUUCUAAGUAUGCUAUGUUCAUCAAUACAUUUAAUCCUCACAGAAGUAAGGCCUGUUUCUAUCUCCCUUUUACAGAUGAAGAAACCGAGAAUCAGAGAGGUUCAGAUACUUGCUGGAGGUCACACAGCUAGUCUCACCUCCCACCCCUCCUGCCUUCCCACUGCACCAUGGCUCCAGGACCCUUCUCCUCGGCCCUCCUCUCGCCGCCGCCCGCUGCCCUGCCCUUUCUGCUGCUGCUCUGGGCGGGGGCAUCUCGUGGCCAGCCCUGCCCCGGCCGCUGCAUCUGCCAGAACGUGGCGCCCACACUGACAAUGCUGUGCGCCAAGACCGGCUUGCUCUUUGUGCCGCCCGCCAUCGACCGGCGCGUGGUGGAGCUGCGGCUCACCGACAACUUCAUCGCCGCCGUGCGCCGCCGAGACUUCGCCAACAUGACCAGCCUGGUGCACCUCACUCUCUCCCGGAACACCAUCGGCCAGGUGGCAGCUGGCGCCUUCGCCGACCUGCGUGCCCUCCGGGCCCUGCACCUGGACAGCAACCGCCUGGCGGAGGUGCGCGGCGACCAGCUCCGCGGCCUGGGCAACCUCCGCCACCUGAUCCUUGGAAACAACCAGAUCCGCCGGGUGGAGUCGGCGGCCUUUGACGCCUUCCUGUCCACCGUGGAGGACCUGGAUCUGUCCUACAACAACCUGGAGGCCCUGCCGUGGGAGGCGGUGGGCCAGAUGGUGAACCUAAACACCCUCACGCUGGACCACAACCUCAUCGACCACAUCGCGGAGGGGACCUUCGUGCAGCUUCACAAGCUGGUCCGUCUGGACAUGACCUCCAACCGCCUGCAUAAACUCCCGCCCGACGGGCUCUUCCUGAGGUCGCAGGGCACCGGGCCCAAGCCGCCCACCCCGCUGACCGUCAGCUUCGGCGGCAACCCCCUGCACUGCAACUGCGAGCUGCUCUGGCUGCGGCGGCUGACCCGCGAGGACGACUUAGAGACCUGCGCCACGCCCGAACACCUCACCGACCGCUACUUCUGGUCCAUCCCCGAGGAGGAGUUCCUGUGUGAGCCCCCGCUGAUCACACGGCAGGCGGGGGGCCGGGCCCUGGUGGUGGAAGGCCAGGCGGUGAGCCUGCGCUGCCGAGCGGUGGGUGACCCCGAGCCGGUGGUGCACUGGGUGGCACCUGAUGGGCGGCUGCUGGGGAACUCCAGCCGGACCCGGGUCCGGGGGGACGGGACGCUGGAUGUGACCAUCACCACCUUGAGGGACAGUGGCACCUUCACUUGUAUCGCCUCCAAUGCUGCUGGGGAAGCGACGGCGCCCGUGGAGGUGUGCGUGGUACCUCUGCCUCUGAUGGCACCCCCGCCGGCUGCCCCGCCGCCUCUCACCGAGCCCGGCUCCUCUGACAUCGCCACGCCGGGCAGACCAGGUGCCAACGAUUCUGCGGCUGAGCGUCGGCUCGUGGCAGCCGAGCUCACCUCGAACUCCGUGCUCAUCCGCUGGCCAGCCCAGAGGCCUGUGCCCGGAAUACGCAUGUACCAGGUUCAGUACAACAGUUCCGUUGAUGACUCCCUCGUCUACAGGUGGGUGCGGGUGCUGCAGUCCCAGGGCCUCCUCCCAAGCCCAGGGGGACCCUCCCUCCCACCUGCCCAUUCCCUUGGCCUUCUUGCUCAGCCAGGGUUCUAGAUGGCUGUGAGAGCUGUUCCCGCCCUCCUUUGCCCUGUCUCCUCUCUCUAUUUCUCACUGUCUCUGUUUUUCGUGCUUAUAGAAAAUAUUCGCUGAGCACCUACAUGAACCCGACCAGGGCUGGGCACUGGAGUCCUAACAGUGACUGAGCUCAGCAUGAACCCUGCCCUCAUGGGGCUCAUGGUCGAUAUCACUGCUCCCCACAACAAUCUGAUUGUGCACCUCUUCAGUUAAACAUUUUGGAGCAUGAAACACACACACACAUUUACAGUGACAUUUAUUUAUUUGUUUGUUUUGAGACUGAGCCUUACUCUAUUGCCCAGGCUGGAGUGCAGUGGCACGAACUCAGCUCACUGAAACCCUCCGCCUCCCGGGUUCAAGCGAAUCUCGUCCCUCAGCCUCCCAAGUAGCUGGGAUUACAGAUACCCACCAACACACCCAGCUAAGUUUUGUAUUUUUAGUAGAGACAGGAUUUUACCAUGUUGGGCAGGCUGGUCUUGAACUCCUGACCUCAAGUGAUCCGCCUGCCUUGGCCUCCUAAAUUGCUGGGAUUACAGGUGUGAGCCACCGUGCCUAGCCUACAGCGACAUUUAUAUUUAUAAAUUAUAUACCAGUACUACUGAACCAACACAUUGGGUACAUUACAGAAACAGAAAACAAAACGUAUGAGAAAAAUAUGUUAUUUCCACCCUCACUUGGGUUUGAAGCCAUUGCCCUGGUGGGGACAGACCAUACGGUGUCAACAGACAUUUUAAAAAAAGAGUUAUUUUCUCCCAUCGCCUCCUUAUUUCUCCUUUCACCUCUCUGUCUGUCUCUACCUUCUCUGCCCUCGUUAGGCACAGAGCCCCUGCUUUGUGCAAACUCCUGAGCUGGGUGCUGGGGACACAGGGAAACCACCCAGACCCUGUCCUCAGGGAGCUUAUAGCCCAGUAGGUCGUGGUCCAUAGUACACUAUGAGUUGCAGUCCUGGCCUUGCCAUGUCUCUCCAUCUCAGUAGUUUUUUUUUUUCUUUUUCUUUUUUUUUUUUGGCAGGGUCUUGCUCUGUCACCCCAGGCUGGAGUGCAGUGGUAUGAUCAUAGCUCACUGCAGCCUCAAACUUUUGGGCUCCAAGCAAUCCUCCUACCUCCUGAGAGUAGCUGGGACUAUAGGUGUGCACCACCACACUGGGCUAAUUUAAAAAAAUUUUUAGUAGAGAUGAGGUCUUGCUAUAUUGCCCAGACAGGUCUUGAACUCCUGGGCUGAAGUGAUCCUCCUGCCUUGGCCUCCCAAAGUGCUGGGAUUACAGGUGUGAGCCGCUGCACCUGGCCCAUCUUGGUAGUUUUUUAGUAUGGCUCUCUGCCACAGAAUUGUCACACAGUAGGCACUUGAUAAAUGGUAGUUUGCCACAUGGAUGUCUCUCCUUCUAGCUCUGCCUCCCUCAUGCACAUUGUAGAGCACCAGUUAAAUGCUUCAGUCAUCUGCUUGGCUUCACCUGGAGAUGCCAGCGGGGCUGGAGCUGUUUCCCUACCUGUGGAGAGCCCCAGCUCCUGGCUGUCAGAUCUUCACCGAGAAACCUGCCUCUUGGCCUCCAUCUCUGCCUUUCCAGUGUUUUCUUGGCCAUAGGUGUGGCACAUAGUAGGUGCUUUCCCAGUGUUGGUUGAAUGAAAAAAAUGCCUCUUGGCCGGGCGCGAUGGCUCAUGCCUAUAAUCCCAGCAUUUUGGGAGGCUGAGGCGGGCGGAUCACUUGAGGUCAGGAGUUCAAGACCAGCCUGGCCAACAUGGUGAAACCCUGUCUCUACGGAAAAUACAAAAAUUAGGCAGAUGUGGUGGCACGUGCCUGUAAUCCCAGCUACUCAGGAGGCUGAGGCAGGAGAAUCGCUUGAACCUGGGAGGCGGAGGUUGCAGUGAGCGGAGAUUGCGCCAUUGGGUGACAGAGCGAGACUCCCUCUGGAAAAAAAAAAAAAAAAAAAAAAAGCCUCCCUUUUCUUUUGUCUCUGUCUUCCUCAUUUCCCUCUCUUUUUGAUUCUGGUCCCAAACACUGAGUAGAUGCCUACUGUGUGCCCAUCUUGUGUUGGGCCCUGGGCCUACUGAGAUAGGUUAGAUCCUGGCCCAGCCUUACAAACAUGAGGACAAACAAAUGAACAAAACACAAACCUUCACAACGAACUUCCAAGCUUGAUCUUCCCAGCUCCGCUAUGAAGGCGUGAUGACCCCCUCUCCAUUUCAAAGACAGAAAAACUGAGGUUCAGUGGGGGAUGUCACUUGCCCAAGGUCACACAGAAAGUAGCAAAGCUGUCCUUUAUACACUGACACACAUUUGUUGGGCACCCACUGCUUGGAAGGGAGAUGGAUAAUAUAUUUCUGUAAAUAAUUCUGAGCUUCUGUGACUCUCCACUUCUCUGUCCCUCUCUUUCCUUUGCUCUGAGCCAUGGCCACCACAUGGUGGGGUGGGGGAGGUUCACAAGCCCCCAGACCCUGCAUGGAUGCAGAUGUUGAUGGCCCCCUGUCCCCAGCUGGGCAACAGACCCUGGGACUCUUCUCUUCCCUGUAGGGCCCCAGUUCCAGUUCUCCAACCCCCAUUGCAGAUUCCUAUGCUAUGGUGCCGCAGGGGUUAACUUCCUCACGCUGUCAUGGGCGGAGGUGGCAGCCAACCAGAAGCCUGCUUAGCUGCUUGCUUUAAUUCUGCAGCCAAUUAGAGACACUUGGGCUGAAGCUUUCUUAAGGAGCCAGCCUCUGUCCUUGAAAAGGGGUGGGGGAAGCCCCUAGCAACUGGCUAUUUAGGGGAAGGAGCAAGUGGAAUCCAGGGCUCUGGAGAGGAGAGAUGAAGAGAGGAGGAGGAAGGCUUAAAGCCAGGGCAGCCGAGGGUGGCUGGGGUGGGUGGCAGUGGUCUUUGAAAUGGCAGUCAGGGGUGGGUAGAGUGGAGUUGGAGAAGUGGGUGGACCUUUAUGAAGGGGCGGGGCCCUGAUUGGAAGUCUUUUGGUGGGAGGGUGGCUCUUGGUAGUGGGAGAACCUCCUGGAGGUGGGAUGACAGAGGUGGAGCUUCAGGGCCAGAAGGUGGCUCUGCUGGAGGGGAAGCGGAAGCAUCGGAGAGAUAAGCAGGCCUUCGGAGGUGGGGAUGUGGCCUGUCAGAGGGGGUGGAGCUUGUUCUGCAUGGUCCCACGAAGAGGAAGGGGCAGUCCUUGUCUCCCGGGACCCACCAAGAGUCUUUGCUGGAGAAGAGAGCUUGUGAGGUUGCAUCCUGGCCAUGCCAAUCAAUGUGGAACGGGCAGUCCAGGUUUAGCUGAGGCUGGACAUGGCCCACAGUGUGGAAACGAUGUGCUCAACAGAAGAGGGCCAAGGCCUAGCAGGAAUGGCCCUCCAGAGGGGUAGAUCUUAUAGAUGGGAGGAAUGCAAUGGGCUGGAUAGUGUGAGCCACAGCAAGGGUUACUGGCCAACACGAGGUGUGAUGCAAGCUAAUGAUGAUAUCAUUAAGUGCCAGGUCCUGGCUGUGUUAACUCAUUCAUUCCUCACACCAUCUCUAUGAUGUAGGAAUUAUUAUCAUCCCCAUUUGGGGAAAAUGAGACACAGGGAGGUUAAGAAACUUGGCGAAGUUCGCCGGGCGUGGUGGUUCAUGACUGUAAUCCCAGCACUUUGGGAGAUCGAGGCGGAUGGAUCACCUGAGGUCAGAAGUUUGAGACCAGCUUGGCCAACGUGGCGAAACCCCAUCUCUACUAAAAAUACAAAAAUUAGCCAGGUGUGGUGGUGGGUGCCUGUAAUCUCAGCUGUCCGGGAGGCUGAGGCAGGAGAAUCACUUGAACCCGGAAGGCAGAGAUUGCAGUGAGCCGAGAUCGCGUCAUUGUACUCCAGCCUGGGUGACACAGCGAGAGUCUGUCUCAAACAAAACAAAAUGAAACAAAAGAGAAACUUGCCUGAGGUCACAGAGCAAGCAAGUGGCAGAGGAGAGACUCAAACCCGGGCAAUCUGGCCCCCAGCCUUUGUCAUCUUAACCACUUCUCUACACUAGUCUUCAUUCGAGGGGAGGGGCCUACAGCAAGAAAGGAAUAUGGUGUGUGCUUGGCUACGUUUGACCCCUUUACGGAAGAAACUUACCUGGUAGCGUGAUUUGGUGACUUCUGGUGGCACAUGAACAUAUGAGGUGGUUGCCUUUAAUAUCUGGACAAGGAGCAGGGCCUGUAGUCUGGAUGUGGCCUAUACACAGUAGGGGAACCAUCCUUAGUGGGCCAUUGUGGGGUGUGCCUGGAAGCCACAUUUCAUUUGGUUGGGGAAUGGCCUGUAGCAAUGUCAGGGAACAUGUAGUUAAGGG
rnacentral:lncRNA from 1 species